UACGUAGGGUGCGAGCGUUGUCCGGAAUUAUUGGGCGUAAAGAGCUCGUGGGCGGUCUGUCGCGUCGGUCGUGAAAACUUGGGACUUAACCCUGAGCUUGCGGUCGAUACGGGCAUGACUGGAGUUCGGCAGGGGAGACUGGAAUUCCUGGUGUAGCAGUGAAAUGCGUAGAUAUCAGGAGGAAUACCGAUGGCGAAGGCAGGUCUCUGGGCUGACACUGACGCUCAUGCACGAAAGCGUGGGGAGCAAACAGG
rnacentral:rRNA from 1 species